GACAAUAUACCAAAUAACACCUGACUCCGCAGGACAACAAUUAGUCUCAGAAGCACAAGAAAAACUCCGUGACAUUCCUAAAUCUUCCAACCCUUGAAUUAUAUCCAACAGAUUACGCAACAAAUUUGCAUUCCAGUUGACAAUCUUUCCUAUAUGGCUAAUGUAUCGAACAUGUGCUGACUGUUGAAACCCUGAAACCCAGAAGUCUCACAUACCUGAGCUAACAGCCAUCUUUGCAAUACACUUCAUUUAUUGAAUUAUUGUUUGAGUGAUAAUUAUGUCCUAACGCAGCUUUUCCACUCCCCCUCACAAUUGCUAUUUGCUCAUAUUCAACACUUCAUAUCACUUACAUUAUAAUCUUAAUUUCCCAAAAUAGUAUUUCCAUAUUUAGUUGUAUAAAGGUUUGAAUACUGAUCAAAUAAACUUUCAUAAAAGAGGGUGAAAAGAAAGAAAUAGAUAUACCAAAGUUCUUACCAGUGAAUUAUAGGGUUUUUGCACUUCGUAAUUUAACUCAACUGGAUAAGUCUGUCUCUCAAACCAGAGGUGACUACUAACGUCUAAUUUGAAGCCGAGUAAUUCGUUUAAACCCGGAAAAACACCCAGGAUCAAGAUUACCCUGAUGAGAGAAAAAGAAUCUUAAUCGAGGUGCUGGGCGAGGGUACGAU
rnacentral:lncRNA from 1 species